rnacentral:rRNA from 1 species
CAGCAGUAGGGAAUCUUCCGCAAUGGGCGAAAGCCUGACGGAGCGACGCCGCGUGAGCGAUGAAGGCCUUCGGGUUGUAAAGCUCUGUGGGGAGGGAAGAAUAAGGGUAAGCUAACAGCUUGUAUGAUGACGGUACCUCCUUAGCAAGCCCCGGCUAACUAUGUGCCAGCAGCCGCGGUAAGACAGAGGGGGCAAACGUUGUUCGGAUUUACUGGGCGUAAAGGGCGUGUAGGCGGCUUUGCAAGUCGGAUGUGAAAGCCCACGGCUCAACCGUGGAAGUGCAUCGGAAACUGCAUGGCUUGAGUCCAGGAGAGGAAGGUGGAAUGCCAGGUGUAGCGGUGAAAUUCGUAGAUACAGGCGGAACACCUCGGCGAAGGCGGCUUUCUGACGGAACUGACGCUAGGCGCGAAAGCGGGGGAGCAAACAGGAUUAGAUACCCGG